rnacentral:rRNA from 1 species
UACGUAGGGUGCGAGCGUCAAUCGGAAUUACUGGGCGUAAAGCGUGCGCAGGCGGUUUUUAAGACAGGCGUGAAAUCCCCGGGCUUAACCUGGGAACGGCGCUUGUGACUGGAAGGCUAGAGUACGGCAGAGGGGGGUGGAAUUCCACGUGUAGCAGUGAAAUGCGUAGAGAUGUGGAGGAACACCGAUGGCGAAGGCAGCCCCCUGGGCCGAUACUGACGCUCAUGCACGAAAGCGUGGGGAGCAAACAGG